GGCUCUUUAGUCAUUUAAUGCUGUCUGUCUGUUCCCGAAGUUUUGUUUCGGACUCUGGCGGGAGGAGCGGAACCGAAACCUCCGCGGAGCAAAUUAAAACCGAGAGGAAAGAGCUGGAAGGGGGAGGCGCCUGGCUCGGGGGGCGCAGACCAGGCCCCAGCUGUGGACAGAAAGCAGCUAACUGAACCAGGAUGGCAACUGCUCAGCUCUCACACACUGGAGUGAAGCAUAAAACCUCCAAGGAAACACUUAUGUUUCCAAACAGAGUUGCUACUGAACAACAAUCAGUAAUUCUGGUGAAAAGGCUGCUGGCGAUUUCAGUGUCCUGUAUAACUUACCUCCGAGGGCUCUUUCCAGAAAACUCUUAUGGAACUCGCUAUUUGGAUGAUAUGUGUCUAAAAAUCCUUCGUGAAGACAAAAGCUGCCAGGGCUCACUACAGAUAGUCAAAUGAACCACUUGAAGUUACAGGUGAAACAGAUCUGGAUCCCGUAUAACAUUUGUGCCAGUGUUUUGGCCCGGUACACCUUAACGACUGCUGGGAAGAACGAACAAAGUGUGCAGACGGCAACAAACAGGGCUGGGAAGCCGGCUCGGACUGGCCUGCCUGGCAACAAGGCAUUCUCCCGGUGCGCCCUGCUGCCCUCCGAGUGUGAGCGCCCUCCCGCCUUCGCGGCGCCUCCCUCCAUGGCGCCUCCCUCUCUCUUGCAGGGCACAGCCACCAGGGAAUCUCCCCGGUGUGUGCGCCCUGCUGCCAGCGGCCGCGCCUCAGCCUGGAUUUGUAUGGAACACUGAGCCAAGCCAAGGAAGUUGCUGCCUGUUGUGUUGGUCUCCUUCAAGAAGGAAAGUAACACAUUUGGUUAAAAAAACAACCAUUUGCUGUUUGUUUUGUGUGUGAUUUGUUCCCCUUAGUCAAGCUACCGUGUUGGCUCUCUCUCCCCCCACCCGCAGGAACCAUGUGUGUGCGUGUUGUACAAGUGAGAGAAGUCCCAUUGUUUGUGUGUGUGUGAGAGAGAGAGAGAGAGAGGGAGUUUUAAGCUUUUUUAAAAAAAAUUCAAAGUAUGUUAAAACUUCUAGUGCAAACCUUCUUGUGAGAAAAUUAGUCAAGCAAAAGUAUUAAAAGCUUUGAAAAGAAUGGUGUGUGUGGGGGGGGGGGGAAUGCUCUUACAAAAUGGAUGUUUUUGUUCCUGUUCCUAGCUCUAAUCUGUCUCUGUGUGGGGGUUUCUUCUCCCCCCAUCCCACCCUUAUUAAAAAUAUUGAUAUGCA